CUGGGCCUAUACUGGGUUGUGGGACUGGGAAGAUUAGAAUCCUGCCCGAUACAUUACUCAGCUAGGUUGAGGAGAAAAAUACAAACCAUUGACAGCUACAUUGAUAGCUACAAUGAUAGUCUAGAUGUGGUAUGGGACUCCAGAUGGAAGUACUGAAGAUUAAACAGAUGUUGGAAGGUGAAGAGAUGGGAGGGGAGAAUGAUGUACUGUUUAACUUAACAACCUGGAUCUGACUAUGUAGGUCAAGUAUUGACCCCAACCUACUGCAGCUAUUUUGGACAAGUUCGAACCUACAUUUCUUCACAGUCUUCUUAUACGAAGAACGGCGCUAAGUGCUGCUGCAUACAAAUUUGUGAGGAUCAAGUGAAAAUAUGCUAGAAAUCAGCCAGCACACAAUGCGUAGUCUAUGGAGAAAAUAUUUGCACAAAAUUACUUGGAUCAUUUUUAUGGAAUCACAACUUCUCUCCCAGUCAUUUCAGAUGAUGGAUAGUUAUUUUAUUCCUUCUAACAAAAUAUCUCACUCAGCCUGGGUUGCACAGAGGAGAACAGACAAACUUUGAGGGGAAGACGGAGGCAAGGGACUGGAUGACCUUGGAGAGACCUUGAGUAAGUAUUUGCCGGGAUUCACUAGCAACUGGAGCCUGUGAGACUGAAUCCUUGCAAUAACUUCCUUUUCUGUUAUAAUCAGCAUGAGGAUUUCCUAAUCUUGACCCCCCUGAAAUGAUCCCUAUCAGAGUUCUCCAGAUGUUGCACACACUUAUCCAAAAUUUAAGUCACACAAAUGUUCAAUGUGUUUUCCAGAGUUGAUCUGAAG
rnacentral:lncRNA from 1 species